GGCAUUAUUGAUUUAUCUCCGUGACUCCGUCUCUCUCACUAAAUCAAUAUGCCUUCUCGAUUCUCUUUCUUUGAUUUUUUUAUGAAUGUUGUGGUUUUAAUAUUAAAAUUUAUUGCUUGGUUGGAUUUAUAUUUGAAUAUGAAUUUUGAUAUUGUUAUGCUUGUGUUUAUCAGUAUGGUUCUGAAAGAGUGCGUUGGGGAGAGAAUUUGGAAAAAUUAGGAUAAACUUAGUGCAUUAGGGAGGGGAGAUCCUUUGUUGGAUUAAGGUUUAGGGUAGAUUUUCUAGGUUUGAGACAACUCAUGGUUGAGAGAGUGCAGGGGGAGGGAGGGGAUUAGGGUUCCAAAAAAGGGGGGUUUCGGUGUUUUGAUUUUUUAGGUUGGGUUUGGAACCUGAGAUGGAGGAGACGCUUGUUUGAGUGGGAGUGCAAACACUAUGAGGAUCUACACCUAUUAUUACUUAAUGUAUCUUUGAAUGCGGGUACUCAAGACAAGCUUAUUUGGUGCUAUUCGAAAGAUGGCAGUUUCUCUGUCAAGUCUUUUACAAAUUCAGUGACCGCAAAAAUGUGCGAAAUUGUAGAAUCAAAUCAUACUUUUAACAACAUAUGAAAAGGAGUUGUACCACCAAGGGUAGAGAUGAUGGGAAGGUUUGUAUUGCUAGGCAAACUCAAUACCAUGAAGAGAUUAGCUCGGAUCAAUGUAUUAGCGGCCAAUGAGGUAACUUGUAUUUUGUGCAGUUUAGAAAAUGAAGACAAGGAUCACCUUUUUAUUCAUUGUAACUUUGCAUCAUAUCUGUGGUACAAUGCCUUUCAAGGGGAAGGAGUUAGUUGGGUUAGACCAAAGGGAGUGAGAGAUUUUUUUGAAUCAUGGUGUGAUCAAAAGGGUGUGAGAGGAGAUAAAAGAUAGUUAAAUUUGUGGUUUGCAAUAAUUUGGGUUAUAUGAAGAGUUAGAAAUCAAACAAAUUUUCAAAACAAAAAGACUACGUUAGAGGAGGCAUGAAAGAUCAUAUUGUAUAAUUUGAAAGAUUGGGAGCUAAUUAACAAAAAAGAGAGGAAAUUGAGGAGCACUUUUGAAAUGGGACAUGCCAUUGGUGAGGUCCUAAAAAUCUUGUAGCGUAACGUAUUGUCAUGGUGGUUAUGUGUGGACUAUGUGCCUACAAAACAAUGUAUAGCAGUGGGUGGAUACUUGUUAAAUGCUAAAAAUAAUCUAGUUGUAAUAUUAUGUGAGUUUAUCCAUGCAGGAUAUAAUACAAAUUCUAUGGUAGAAGGCUUUGAGGUAGUUGUCCAAUUCAUGUUAGAAGAUUACAAUGCAUCACUAGAACAAAUAAUCUUUAGCACAAACGAACCAUGCUUGGUUAACUGGACAUACGGUGAUGGUAAUAGUUAUUGGAGAUUGAAUUUUGAAAGAAAUAGAUUUAAGAACUUUAUACAAAAAUUUGGCUGGGUGAUAAUCCAAUACACUUAUGUGAAGGAAUUCAAAUACAUCAACAAUUGGAGAAAUAUAAUUAAUAGUGAACAUUGUAACAGAGUUAUUUAGGUGUGACGCUGGUCAAUUGAUAAUGAUGUAAUACGUGUAUGUGUCUAAAUUAGUGAUUCCUUGAUGGCAAUGCCGAAGGGGAGUGACUAAUUUAGGGGUAUUCUGGUGUUUAGGUGUAAUAGUAGUAUUUUUAUUAAGUUCUAUAAUGUAAUUGGUCUGAAUUUAUCUCCCAUUGUUUUAAUGGUCGAGAGUACUAACAAUCGAAAAAAAAUAUUUAUAUCUAAAUGAAGCUUUGGCUUAGCUGCAUAGCGCUGCCCCUCCUCUACUGCCCUGUCAACAUCCUCGGUGCAACCAGUGAAAAGAAGAUUAUCACGAUUAUUAGAAGAAGCCUUAUCCUCAAGUCCUUCAUCCUAACAAGUUUCUGUAGUUCAAGUGACAGCCAACAACCAACACAAUGGAGAUGGCAGUAGCAGUAGCAACCUAGUUGACCAUGGUCAUAUCCUGGUCGUGUGGUGGUGGAGUCCGUCCCAGACGCAACGAUUAUGCAUGUGGAAGACAUGGAACUCAUGCUGAUGGAUUUAGAUAUUGUUGCUCACAGUCCCUUGUGCUACAAGGAACGCUUCACUCGUUAGGAAGUGGCGUUCACCAUGUUUGAGAAGAUUCUAUCGACUACAGGCAUACCAUCCGUGAUUACAACUAUUGCAUUCUUGGGCGUGUCAAAGAGCAAUUGAGUUAGAAUAGAGAGGAGGAAGUUGGAUUAUUGAACGAGCGCAUUUAUAGGCUAGAAGUUGAAAACGAGAAGCUAAGGGGACAAGUGGAAAUAUUUGGGGAGAUGUUCGAUUAAUAGGGAGCUUCAAGAGUCAUUUUGAAGGUUUGUUAGUAAAGGUGUGAGAGUUUAGGGCUUUUCUUUUUGGUCUUGUGUUUUUUACGUUGGAAGAGGUGGCUAUGUGGUGUUUUGAUUUGUGUUAUGGUUUAAGGGAGCAAUGGAAAGUUAUGGGUUUGAAGUGCUUAGUUAAGGGGUUUUUUAUUCAAGGUUUAGGUGAAAAAAAAAAUCAACAUCCGGUAUAUUGUAUUUUCGUAUUGUAUUUUGCUGGUUAUAUUUGCAUGUAAUGACUUACAAUAAGGUUAAUGAAUUGUCUCUUUGAUGCGCA